rnacentral:rRNA from 1 species
GGAGUCUGGGCCGUAUCUCAGUCCCAAUGUGUCCGUUCACCCUCUCAGGCCGGAUACCCGUCAUUGCCUAGGUGGGCUCUUACCUCACCUACUAGCUGAUGGGUCGCAGGCCGUUCCUUCGGCGUAGCCGUAGCUACUUUCCACACACAGCUCCAACCUGUGUGUCCUUAUCCGGUAUUACCCGAUAUUUCUAUCGGCUAUCCCCGUCCAAAGGGUACGUCACCCACGUGUUACUCACCAGUCCGCCACUCUAGGAAGAGAGCAAGCUCUCUUCUUGCCGUUCGACUUGCAUGCUUAAGACGCGCCGCCAGCGUUCGUU